rnacentral:rRNA from 1 species
UACGGAGGGUGCAAGCGUUAUCCGGAUUCACUGGGUUUAAAGGGAGCGUAGGUGGGCUGGUAAGUCAGUGGUGAAAUCUCCGAGCUUAACUUGGAAACUGCCAUUGAUACUAUUAGUCUUGAAUAUUGUGGAGGUCAGCGGAAUAUGUCAUGUAGCGGUGAAAUGCUUAGAGAUGACAUAGAACACCAAUUGCGAAGGCAGCUGGCUACGCAUAUAUUGACACUGAGGCUCGAAAGCGUGGGGGAUCAAACAGG